AAAUUGAAGAGUUUGAUCAUGGCUCAGAUUGAACGCUGGCGGCAGGCCUAACACAUGCAAGUCGAACGGUAACAGGAAGCAGCUUGCUGCUUUGCUGACGAGUGGCGGACGGGUGAGUAAUGUCUGGGAAACUGCCUGAUGGAGGGGGAUAACUACUGGAAACGGUGGCUAAUACCGCAUAACGUCGCAAGACCAAAGAGGGGGACCUUCGGGCCUCUUGCCAUCAGAUGUGCCCAGAUGGGAUUAGCUUGUUGGUGAGGUAACGGCUCACCAAGGCGACGAUCCCUAGCUGGUCUGAGAGGAUGACUAGCCACACUGGAACUGAGACACGGUCCAGACUCCUACGGGAGGCAGCAGUGGGGAAUAUUGCACAAUGGGCGCAAGCCUGAUGCAGCCAUGCCGCGUGUAUGAAGAAGGCCUUCGGGUUGUAAAGUACUUUCAGCGGGGAGGAAGGUGUUGUGGUUAAUAACCGCAGC
rnacentral:rRNA from 1 species